rnacentral:rRNA from 1 species
CAAGGAGUCUAGCGUGUGCGAAGAGUCAUUGGGUUUUAAAACCUAAAGGCGCAAUGAAAGUAUCAGGUAGGGGUGCCCUCGGGCUGCCCCUACUAUUGGAAGAUGGGUUUCCGACCCCCGGGUCGGGGCCCCGCACUCCAGGGGCGUCUCUUUCUCUUUAUAGAGUUGAGACGCACCAGGAGCGCACACGCUGUUACCCGAAAGAUGGUGAACUAUGCCCGGCCAGGAUGAAGCCAGGGGAAACCCUGGUGGAGGUCCGAAGCGAUUCUGACGUGCAAAUCGAUCGUCUGAGCUAGGUAUAGGGGCGAAAGACCAAUCGAACCAUCUAGUAGCUGGUUCCCUCUGAAGUUUCCCUCAGGAUAGCUAGCCCUCUUAAUGUAAAGAGUCUCAUCCGGUAGAGCGAAUGAUUAGAGGUGAUGGGAUCGAAACGAUCUCAACCUAUUCUCAAACUCCCAAUAGAUGAGAGCCCCGGCUUGCUUGAAAGUGAAGCCGCGGGACUCGGAUCAGAGUUGGCUAAGUGGGCCAAUUUU